rnacentral:sRNA from 1 species
UGAUCAUAGAAGAACAAAACAUGAUUGAAUAAGAAAUCAAUGAAUAAAACAAGAGGAGAAUAAGGUUUAGAAGGAUCUUCUCUACAGGGAGCCUCCACAGGGUUUUGCUCCCAAAGUACAGAAUUGAAAAAGGGAAUAGCCUCCCAAAGCUUAGGGUCUAAACAUUGACCUUAAAGCUAUAUAAAUAUGUCUUAAGAACGUGCUGGGCCUUCAUUAAAUAUAGGAGAAAGUUUUGGGCCGAAUUCAAAAAUCUUCAAAACAACAAUAAGUUGCGUCUUUCAAUUGUCGUCAGGUAUUGGUGUCGCUCGACACCAAGGGUGGUGUCGUUCGACACCUACGUGCAUUUUCGUCUCUGGAUUGCUUCUGCAGCUUAAGUUGUAUGUUUUGCUCCAGAAAGCUCCAUAAUCUUCAAAUGCAUCUCAAAAAUGUAAAGACCUGAAAAAGACUAGAAAAA